rnacentral:rRNA from 1 species
UACAGAGGGUGCGAGCGUUAAUCGGAAUUACUGGGCGUAAAGCGCGCGUAGGCGGCUUUGCAAGUCGGGUGUGAAAUCCCCAGGCUUAACCUGGGAACUGCAUUCGAGACUGCAUUGCUAGAGUAUGGGAGAGGGAAGUGGAAUUUCAGGUGUAGCGGUGAAAUGCGUAGAUAUCUGAAGGAACAUCAGUGGCGAAAGCGACUUCCUGGACCAAUACUGACGCUCA